UACGUAGGGGGCUAGCGUUGUCCGGAAUCAUUGGGCGUAAAGCGCGUGUAGGCGGCCCGGUAAGUCCGCUGUGAAAGUCGGGGGCUCAACCCUCGAAAGCCGGUGGAUACUGUCGGGCUCGAGUGCGGAAGAGGCGAGUGGAAUUCCUGGUGUAGCGGUGAAAUGCGCAGAUAUCAGGAGGAACACCAAUUGCGAAGGCAGCUCGCUGGGACGUUACUGACGCUGAGACGCGAAAGCGUGGGGAGCAAACAGG
rnacentral:rRNA from 1 species